rnacentral:rRNA from 1 species
UACGAAGGGUGCAAACGUUGCUCGGAAUCAUUGGGCGUAAAGCGCACGUAGGCGGCCUCGCAAGUCGGAUGUGAAAUACCUAGGCUCAACCAAGGACGUGCAUCCGAAACUGCAAGGCUUGAGUACAGAAGAGGAUCGCGGAAUUCCCGGUGUAGAGGUGAAAUUCGUAGAUAUCGGGAGGAACACCAGUGGCGAAGGCGGCGAUCUGGGCUGAUACUGACGCUGAGGUGCGAAAGCCAGGGGAGCAAACGGG